UUCAUUUUAUAGUGGUAAAUAAUUUAGUAAAUUCGAAUUUGCGACUUAUCGGAUUUGAAAUUCAAUUGUAUUGGCGGACAAAAAAACGACGGGUUGACAGACAAAGUUGUAUAUUCCAAACAAAAGAAAAAGAUUGUGAAAAUUAUGGUAAUUCAACAUGUGUCAAAAGUUCAGGAGGAAGAUGAAAAUAUUUAGAGGAAAAGAAAAAUGAAAACCUACCAAGAUUUUGUGACAGAAAGUGUGAUGAGAUCUCAGGUGGGAGACGGUAAUGAUACGCUUAAAGUAUGCCCCAGAUCGACAUAGUGUAGGAGGACGAAAGAAGCUAGAAUACUAAUGAAGAUAAAUGAACAUUGCUAUUUAUAGUUAUAACAAAAUAUUCAGAAUAGUGUUCCAUUUAACAUUCAGAUCUAGAUUCAGUUAUAAAAUACAAAGACAAAUAUACAAUCAGUGAGUUGGAUAGAUGAUUGAAAAAUCCCAAACUCAGAGUGAUCAGUUCAGUGGUGAUAUAAGAAAAAACACAUGCAUGGAUGUUUGCUAUAUAAAAUGUCAGUGAUUUUGUUUAUUUUAUUUCUAAAACAUGCUUAAUUAAUACAUGAUUGAAGCGUUAUUAAAGUACAUACCGUCAAGUUUAAUAGUUUCAAAAAAUAUUAUGUAAAUCUUGCAUUUGUUAUAGUACCACAUUACUUGUUUUGUACUUGUGAUUCCGAGUAUAAAAUAAAUUGCUAAAAUCAUAAGAAUGCUUAUUUAUUAACCCUAUUAAAGAGCUUCAAAAUGAAAAAAAAAAUCAUAUUCCAAAAGUUUUGAAUGAGGUUAAAUCAUGGUCAGAAAAUUUGGUCAGAUAAGGUUGGCAUAUGGUCAGAUAAUGGUCAGAAAAGGUUGGAUUAUGGUCAGAAAAAGGUUGGAUUAUGUCCAAAUAAUGGUCAGAAAAGGUUGGAUUAUGGUCAGAUAAUGGUCAGAAAAGGUUGGAUUAUGGUCAGAAAAGGUUGGAUAAUGGUCAUUUUAUGACGUUGUAUAGACGUCGGUUUCUGACGUCUAAAAAACUUUCAAAUCCAACCUUCUGCCAACGUUUACCCAACGUCAGGGUCUAACGUCCGUACAACGUUGGUACAACGUCUUUUGUUUGCUG